rnacentral:lncRNA from 1 species
GUUGUUGCCCUGUGUCAUGCAGAUGCUGCAACCCUGGAUCAGCAGGACUGGCUCCUACAUGCAUCCCAACUGUUUAUAGAUGAUAUGGAUUUUGAGGUGGGCCAACACAGAAACGUGGAUCUGUGGAGCCCAGAUGGGAGCCGAACUGGUCAGUGCUGACUCUCCCUUAUCUAUACCAUCAGGCUGAGCUCUUCAGCAGUGCUUUGGCUAGGCCACCCAAAGCCACCAUCUGCAGCAGACAAGGUCAAUUCUUCUGCUCUCAUGCCUUGGCCAUCAUGACCAGCUAGCUCCACUGUGUUGCUGGCCAGGUGAAGAAGUCACAUGUGGUGAAUAUAUUAUCAUCAGAAUGCGGAGCAAUGAAAUGUAAACAGAUAGGAAUCGUCACUAAAGCUCCAACUGCAGCCUCCGGGUGCCAUAGCUUUUGCACCAUCCAUUUGCACCAUCUCUGCAGUAAGUCCUAGCUCAAGCCUUACUCCAAAGUACAAAUUAGCAUAGCAGCUCAGUCAACAAUGCCUCCGAGCUUCUGGAAAGAAAGAUGCUCAGUCACCAUAGACCCAGAAUUAAUGAAAAGUCACAGAAAUAAUAGCUCCAUUCUCUACUUGCUUCUGAACCUCAAAUCAGUGGUUGGCAACAAGUUGCUCUCAAUCACUGCCACGAGUCUGGUGAUGCGCUAAGCUCGGGGCAGGAUCUCAAGGGCUUUGAGGAUGUCUGCAUCAUCUGUAUUGACCUGCUCCCCAGAUUAAUACCGAAGCACUGCAAUUUCUUGAGGAUUAUCCACCUAGGAGGAAAUGAUACGCUGGCCCAUCCAUAGUAGUCAAGACACGCAAUCCAGUUUUGAUGAAUCAGGGCUCAAAGGAUUUUGUGUGCUCCACAGAAACAGUCUGAGAUCCAAAAAGUGGCUUAAAAGAGGGAAAAGUUAAUCAAAAUGUCUGUGAAGCUCUGGCUUCAGUCUCUCCAGCGAGGCUUUCUGAAGCACAGCUCUGAUAGAACUAAACCCAAUGAGACACCGCCUACAAGAGGAAUCCAGCGUGUGAACGAAGACUAAAAAGCAAAACAGCAGCGUCUGGAGUGGACAGCUUCUCUCACUCAGAGAACUGUAGCCUCAAAUUCCUGGCAGAGGAUUAGAGGACUUCUCCGAGGCGGCUCCAAUGGAUGCCAGCAGAGUUAAAGUGUCCAAUGGAGAGAAGAGAAGGCUUGGGAAAUCCAGAGUCCAUUCAUUCAUCGCCCUCCUCCUAGAACAACAAAAGCGAGCCCCAGUACUCAUCA